rnacentral:misc_RNA from 1 species
ACAAAAAAACAAAUGAUGUGUCAAAUGUUAUUUGACCUAGUAGCUUCAAAGAUACAAGAGAAUCUGAGAGAUCAUGAUUAUUACAACUUACAAGAGAGUUCAGUCAUGUCAAUUACUAGUAUUUUGAAAGCUCUAUGGUGACACAGUAUGUGAAAAUAGCUCAUUUUGCCAAUACCAAAAAUGGUAAAAGUAUAUUUAACAGGAUACUUACACUAAUGGGGAGUCUAAAUUAGUCACAUGUUAUGGAACAAAAUCUGAAAUGAUAGCUGGGAAAUCGCAAGGCAUCUGAUAUCUAGUGUUUGUCGUCUUUGGGGAUGUCCUUCUGAGAUAUCUCCUUCGGCUUUGCCUUCUCUAUUCCCUUAGCCGCGGAAGCAGACUCUUCCUCAAGCCAAUGGCGAAUUUGACGAACAUUGCGCUUGAAGAUGGAAGCAGACUGUUUAACAUCGCUCCUCAUCAAUAAAACCACAGCGCUCACUCCCGCAACUGUCAGUAUAAAGUUCGUUAACGCCAUUCUGGGGAUCAAUUCGUUUCUUUUAUUGUGAGAUUGCUUAAAACAGUGAUUUAAUCGGCAGCGGUAGAGGUGAACUUCAGGAGAACGCCGUGAGUAACAGAGCAAGAAUAGAACUAGAUCUUAGAGGAAG